rnacentral:rRNA from 1 species
GACGAACGCUGGCGGCGUGCUUAACACAUGGAAGUCGAACGAAGAGCGAUGGAAGCUUGCUUCUAUCAAUCUUAGUGGCGAACGGGUGAGUAACGCGUAAUCAACCUGCCCUUCAGAGGGGGACAACAGUUGGAAACGACUGCUAAUACCGCAUACGAUCUAAUCUCGGCAUCGAGGAUAGAUGAAAGGUGGCCUCUACAUGUAAGCUAUCACUGAAGGAGGGGAUUGCGUCUGAUUAGCUAGUUGGAGGGGUAACGGCCCACCAAGGCGAUGAUCAGUAGCCGGUCUGAGAGGAUGAACGGCCACAUUGGGACUGAGACACGGCCCAGACUCCUACGGGAGGCAGCAGUGGGGAAUCUUCCGCAAUGGACGAAAGUCUGACGGAGCAACGCCGCGUGAGUGAUGACGGCCUUCGGGUUGUAAAGCUCUGUUAAUCGGGACGAAAGGCCUUCUUGCGAAUAGUGAGAAGGAUUGACGGUACCGGAAUAGAAAGCCACGGCUAACUACGUG